AACGAACGCUGGCGGCAUGCCUAACACAUGCAAGUCGAACGAGACCUUCGGGACUAGUGGCGCACGGGUGCGUAACGCGUGGGAACCUGCCCUUAGGUUCGGAAUAACUCCCCGAAAGGGGUGCUAAUACCGGAUAAUGUCUUCGGACCAAAGAUUUAUCGCCUUUGGAUGGGCCCGCGUUGGAUUAGCUAGUUGGUAGGGUAAAAGCCUACCAAGGCGACGAUCCAUAGCUGGUCUGAGAGGAUGAUCAGCCACACUGGGACUGAGACACGGCCCAGACUCCUACGGGAGGCAGCAGUGGGGAAUAUUGGACAAUGGGCGAAAGCCUGAUCCAGCAAUGCCGCGUGAGUGAUGAAGGCCUUAGGGUUGUAAAGCUCUUUUACCCGGGAUGAUAAUGACAGUACCGGGAGAAUAAGCGCCGGCUAACUCCGUG
rnacentral:rRNA from 1 species